GAUGAACGCUGGCGGCGUGCCUAAUACAUGCAAGUCGAGCGAACUGAUUAGAAGCUUGCUUCUAUGACGUUAGCGGCGGACGGGUGAGUAACACGUGGGCAACCUGCCUGUAAGACUGGGAUAACUUCGGGAAACCGAAGCUAAUACCGGAUAGGAUCCUCUCCUUCAUGGGAGAUGAUUGAAAGAUGGUUUCGGCUAUCACUUACAGAUGGGCCCGCGGUGCAUUAGCUAGUUGGUGAGGUAACGGCUCACCAAGGCAACGAUGCAUAGCCGACCUGAGAGGGUGAGCGGCCACACUGGGACUGAGACACGGCCCAGACUCCUACGGGAGGCAGCAGUAGGGAAUCUUCCGAAAUGGACGAAAGUCUGACGGAGCAACGCCGCGUGAGUGAUGAAGGCUUUCGGGUCGUAAAACUCUGUUGUUAGGGAAGAACAAGUACAAGAGUAACUGCUUGUACCUUGACGGUACCUAACCAGAAAGCCACGGCUAACUACGUGCCAGCCGCCGCUGUAA
rnacentral:rRNA from 1 species